rnacentral:rRNA from 1 species
GACGAACGCUGGCGGCGUGCUUAACACAUGCAAGUCGAACGGAAAGGCCCUGCUUUUGUGGGGUGCUCGAGUGGCGAACGGGUGAGUAACACGUGAGUAACCUGCCCUUGACUUUGGGAUAACUUCAGGAAACUGGGGCUAAUACCGGAUAGGAGCUCCUGCUGCAUGGUGGGGGUUGGAAAGUUUCGGCGGUUGGGGAUGGACUCGCGGCUUAUCAGCUUGUUGGUGGGGUAGUGGCUUACCAAGGCUUUGACGGGUAGCCGGCCUGAGAGGGUGACCGGCCACAUUGGGACUGAGAUACGGCCCAGACUCCUACGGGAGGCAGCAGUGGGGAAUAUUGCACAAUGGGCGGAAGCCUGAUGCAGCAACGCCGCGUGCGGGAUGACGGCCUUCGGGUUGUAAACCGCUUUCGCCUGUGACGAAGCGUGAGUGACGGUAAUGGGUAAAGAAGCACCGGCUAACUACGUGCCAGCAGCCGCGGUGAUACGUAGGGUGCGAGCGUUGUCCGGAUUUAUUGGGCGUAAAGGGCUCGUAGGUGGUUGAUCGCGUCGGAAGUGUAAUCUUGGGGCUUAACCCUGAGCGUGCUUUCGAUACGGGUUGACUUGAGGAAGGUAGGGGAGAAUGGAAUUCCUGGUGGAGCGGUGGAAUGCGCAGAUAUCAGGUGGAACACCAGUGGCGAAGGCGGUUCUCUGGGCCUUUCCUGACGCUGAGGAGCGAAAGCGUGGGGAGCGAACAGGCUUAGAUACCCUGGUAGUCCACGCUGUAAACGGUGGGUACUAGGUGUGGGGUCCAUUCCACGGGUUCCGUGCCGUAGCUAACGCUUUAAGUACCCCGCCUGGGGAGUACGGCCGCAAGGCUAAAACUCAAAGGAAUUGACGGGGCCCCGCACAAGCGGCGGAGCAUGCGGAUUAAUUCGAUGCAACGCGUAGAACCUUACCUGGGUUUGACAUGGAUCGGGAGUGCUCAGAGAUGGGUGUGCCUCUUUUGGGGUCGGUUCACAGGUGGUGCAUGGCUGUCGUCAGCUCGUGUCGUGAGAUGUUGGGUUAAGUCCCGCAACGAGCGCAACCCUUGUUCACUGUUGCCAGCACGUUAUGGUGGGGACUCAGUGGAGACCGCCGGGGUCAACUCGGAGGAAGGUGGGGAUGACGUCAAGUCAUCAUGCCCCUUAUGUCCAGGGCUUCACGCAUGCUACAAUGGCUGGUACAGAGAGUGGCGAGCCUGUGAGGGUGAGCGAAUCUCGGAAAGCCGGUCUCAGUUCGGAUUGGGGUCUGCAACUCGACCUCAUGAAGUCGGAGUCGCUAGUAAUCGCAGAUCAGCAACGCUGCGGUGAAUACGUUCCCGGG